CAGCAGCCGCGGUAAUACGGAGGAUCCGAGCGUUAUCCGGAAUUAUUGGGUUUAAAGGGUGCGUAGGCGGAUAGAUAAGUCAGUGGUGAAAGACGGUGGCUCAACCAUCGCAGUGCCGUUGAUACUGUUUAUCUUGAAUAUGGAUGAGGUAGGCGGAAUGUGGCAAGUAGCGGUGAAAUGCAUAGAUAUGCCACAGAACACCGAUUGCGAAGGCAGCUUACCAAGGCAAAAUUGACGCUGAGGCACGAAAGCGUGGGGAUCGAACAGGAUUAGAUACCCCCGUAGUCCCUGUCUCUUAUAC
rnacentral:rRNA from 1 species